UUGAGGACACACUGUAUACCUAAGUUUCAACAAAUGAGAUAGUGACUUUUCAAACUAUAUUUUGCAGGACGGUUACUCAAGUUACGGCAAGAGUGGACAACAAUGUUUGAGGGCAACAUUUCUCAAACCACCUUCAGAAGAUCCUUACUGGUACGGGGUUUUUGCCGGAAUUUUGUUGAUGGUGUGGCUAGUGAUAACCAUAUUAUCGUUUGGCAGAACGAAAAGUUACAUCAGGUUACUGUUGUUGCUGGUAGUUCCAACCUUUGGCUGUUUUCUGGCCCUCUUCGUGAAAUCCAUGAUGCUACAAAAUGAUUUCGACAGUCUUCACAGUUUUAUUUUCGAUGCUGACUGGAGUUUAUUGAAGAGUGCCAAUGUGAGUGGUA